ensembl:snRNA U6 U6 spliceosomal RNA
AUGCUCACUUCAGCAGCAUGUAUACUAAAAUUGGAAUGAUUACAGAGGAGAUUAACAUGGCCCCUGUGCAAGUAUGACACACAAAUUUGUGAAGCAUUCAGUAUUUCU